rnacentral:rRNA from 1 species
UACGGGGGGGGCAAGCGUUGUUCGGAAUUACUGGGCGUAAAGGGCUCGUAGGCGGCCAACUAAGUCGGAUGUGAAAUCCUGGAGCUCAACUCCAGAACUGCCUUUGAUACUGGCGACCUUGAGUUCGGGAGAGGUGAGUGGAACUGCGAGUGUAGAGGUGAAAUUCGUAGAUAUUCGCAAGAACACCAGUGGCGAAGGCGGCUCACUGGCCCGAUACUGACGCUGAGGUGCGAAAGCGUGGGGAGCAAACAGG